rnacentral:lncRNA from 1 species
AAGAUUAGGAAAUAUGAUUACUGGCUUCGGUUUCAAUUGGUUCAUCAAAUUCAUAUUUUUUAAAUAUCAACAACUUAUUAAAGAACUAAUAAUUGACCAGUUUCUUAAAACGGGUGAUAUAAAAACUUUUAAUAACUGAUACACUAUGUCGAUGCCGUAUUGUUUCCCAUUUCCUUUUGUCAUUAUACUGCAGUUUGCGCAGUUAAAGUGAUUGAACGAAAGUAUACACAUAAUAGAUUUACAAAAUGCUGAAACCCAUCACAAGGAGUUGAUGGUUGAAUCUGUGAAAGUCCUGUUAAAUGUAAAAAAAUAUAAACGACAAUAGAUCUCACGAGACUGGCAAAAAGAACGAUUAAGCCAAUUUUAAAAUACCGCCGGCUUCCAGUUAAUAUACAUAGCGCAUCCACAUUGCUAAACAAAACUACCCAUUCUACGACGGUUGCCGCUAUAGAAAGGUCGUAGUCCCAAAUUACCAUGAAAACGGGUAGCAUUCUUGUGCUAGAAGAAAGUAUUACAGCGCCAGACGCAGAAGUCCAAGAUUUCCAACCCAUUGUUAGGCAUAAUAACAGAACUACUGAAAUUUGAUACACAGUUGUCUCAACCAAACAUAUUAGCAGUAAAGUCAAGUACUGCCGGAUAAUUGGCUGGGAGAGAAAUGCUUGGGCAGGUGUGAAGUAGGGGAAGAGGGCUGCGCGUUUUUCUAGUCGUGACCAAACUAAAAAAACGUUGAAAAGGGAAAUUAAUAUGCAGAAAUUGACAACCUUUGCGCAUUUUGUCAGCUAUUUAAAAAGCCAUUGAAAUGAAUAAAAUACUUACGUUACGAAAUGUUCGUGCCGACAGAGAAUUAAACAAAAGAUGACGGUAAACUUGCGGUUUCAUCAAAAUUACAUCCAUGCUGAUGAGAACAACAUCUAAUUCAAUGUAUUUGUCCGCAAACUGUUUGCAGUUUUUCUGUAACAUAGUCGUUAGUUUGAAAUUGUACUUAAAAAAAACUAAAGAACAAGUCGAUCUUAACGAUUACAGCAAGACUACGCAUUCCACUCUCAGUAUUCAUUAAGCAAGAUAAAUGGAGACAAAAAUUGAAUGAUCGUCAUUUGCUUACAAUAAUGUAAAUUAUAUUUGAAGAGAAAAAUAUUCAUGAAGCUUCUUUUCGUCGCCGUUGGAAUGGACUUGCCCUUAGCUCCUUACGAUCAAGUUGACUACAUCAACGAAACAUAUUGUGUGUAUAUUACUUACGCAUUGAGCUAGUCGAAUAUUACUGGUACCCCUUCCAUAAUAUGUGUAUAAAGAAUCGACUUCCGCGCCGCAUUCGACGCAUUUCAUGGUGACGGGUGGUGGUGUCAAUGUAUUGAGGUAUGUUUAUGAACCAAACAUUCGUAUUCUUGGUUGACAUGUAAAAACAAUGAAGAUAUAUAGAAUUUAAAGAAAAAAUGAAACAAGUAAGCUUAUCUUUAUUUGCAUAGAAACAUAAAUACUAAAACUUAUCCCAGAGUUCUACCAAUUUUAAAUUUUAUUUGAACACUACCCAAUUCCGUUAACAGACGAGUUGUAAAGCCAAAAAACCACCAAUGUCAAACCUAAAUUUUACAGUUCUUCAAUAAUAUAAACAAAUACUGCUUUCACUACAUAUUUAAAAGAUUUGCGAAAUAACCACGUCGAUUCCAGCAUAAAAUCACUAACUCUCAAAACAAUGCAGACUGACUGGAGCGAAAGAACGUAGUAUAGACUUAGUCACAUUUACAAGAUUAAGCGUCUAUUAAAAAGAUUUUACAAAGGCUAAAAUAUUCGUAGAAAUGAGAAACGUGAAAACAACAUUCAAUUGAUUGA